AUGAACGCUGGCGGCGUGCUUAACCCAUGCAAGUCGAACGAAGCACUUUAUUUGAUUUCCUUCGGGACUGAUUAUUUUGUGACUGAGUGGCGGACGGGUGAGUAACGCGUGGGUAACCUGCCUUGUACAGGGGGAUAACAGUUGGAAACGGCUGCUAAUACCGCAUAAGCGCACAGCAUCGCAUGAUGCAGUGUGAAAAACUCCGGUGGUAUAAGAUGGGCCCGCGUUGGAUUAGCUAGUUGGUGAGGUAACGGCCCACCAAGGCGACGAUCCAUAGCCGACCUGAGAGGGUGACCGGCCACAUUGGGACUGAGACACGGCCCAAACUCCUACGGGAGGCAGCAGUGGGGAAUAUUGCACAAUGGGCGAAAGCCUGAUGCAGCGACGCCGCGUGAGCGAAGAAGUAUUUCGGUAUGUAAAGCUCUAUCAGCAGGGAAGAUAAUGACGGUACCUGACUAAGAAGCACCGGCUAAAUACGUG
rnacentral:rRNA from 1 species